GCACCCAAACAGGCAGGAUCCGGAUCGUGCUGCGCAUCACACCACAACCAACGUGGGCAGAAGCUGGAGGAGGACGACACGACUCUCGAAUCCACUUUUCCCAUAAGCCUUUGCAGUCGAGCCCGCGUUCCUUCCCAGCGCGGCUUAUUCCUUGAGCCUGCAGGGGGCGGGUGGAGCGGCAGCGUUCUAACCCGGUCGCGGAGACUGGUCGGCUUUCUGUCGGCUCACCGACGGAAAUCAGUUGCCGCUAGAGGGCGCCUCCGAGUCUUCCUCUCGCUCUUUCUCCCCCUCCUGGCCACCUCAGCACCCACAGACGACGACGACGAGCCGCCAACUCAGCCUUCAAGGGCCCCGCCGCUGACGUUCGGUGACCGACGGGGAUGCAGCGCGGGGGUCCGACAGAGCCAUGGAGUUGGACGAAGCGUUUGGUCUGGUCGGGGAGUUUGGCCCCGGGCAGAAGCGCCUCACCGCUUUCCUGGUGCUGCUGCAGGUGUUUGUGGCCUUUCAGUCUAUGCUUGUUGUGCUAGUAGGAGCUGUGCCAGAAUAUCAUAUUGAUCAGGAAGAGAUUCCAGCUAGUAGGGAAGCUCUUGCCAAACAUGUCAAGUUUGCCACUAACUUCACAUCCAUAGCAACAGAGUGGUAUUUAAUUAAGCAUGAGGCAUAUAAGGUGAGCCUGGCAUCAUCCUUGUACUUUGCUGGGCUGCUUAUUGGAAAUAUCCUCUUUGGCCCAUUGUCAGAUAAACUGGGCAGGAAGCCUGUGUAUAUGUCAGGUCUCUUCUUUGACAUCAUUUUUGGGUAUAUUUCGGCAUUUGCUCCAAACUAUGAAAUUUUUGCAAUGUCACGCUUUUUUGUGGGGAUGACAAAUGGUGGUAUGUCUUUGGUGUCAUUUGUUUUGACACAAGAAUAUGUAGGAAAAUCAUUCUGGGCAUUGACAGGCUCACUAACAAAUCUGACAUUUGCAGUUGGUAUAGCAAUUUAUGCCUUGCUGGGUUAUUACAUAAGGGAGUGGCGUUUGCUUGCCUUUGUAUCAAAUUCUCCAGGACUUUUCUUUUUCCUUCUAUCUUUUAUGCUUCCAGAAUCUCCAAGAUGGUUAUAUUCCCAAGGCAGAACUGCAGAAGCAGAGGAGGUUCUACAAUACAUAGCUCUUACUAACGGAAAAGAAAGGUUGUCUGUGAAACUGAAACAGUACCUGGGAGCAGUAAAAAAGGAUGAUUCAGCACCUGGUCUCUUAAACCUGGUUAAACACCCUGUUCUUCGGUGGCGCACUGUCAUCUUGAUGUAUAUCUGGUACGUGUGCAGUCUUGUGUACUAUGGCUUAACACUGAAUGCUGGUGAAUUAGGAGGAAAUCUGUAUCUAAAUGUGGCUCUUUAUGGCCUUGUUGAAGUACCUGCAUUUCCACUCUGUAUGUUCUUUAUUGAGAGAUCUUGGUCAGGAAGACGUAAAAGUACAACUGCUUUCUUGAUAUUUGCAGGCCUUGCUUGUAUAUUGACCAUGUUCUUACCAGAAAAUACGGGUGGAUCUUUCUUCAGUCCCAGUCUCUUAGCUUUAAAUGGAAAACUAACUGUAAGUGCUGCCUUCAACAUCAUAUAUAUUUAUACUUCAGAGCUCUACCCGACAGUAGUCAGAAACGCUGGCUUAGGUGUCUGUUCAAUGACUUGCAGAUUUGGUGGUAUUUUGGCUCCGUUUGUUCCUUCUCUGAAAUCGCUUAGUCCAUCUAUACCAUUUAUGGUAUUUGGAAUCAGUGGGUUAUCAGCUGGUUUCCUGACUCUCCUACUUCCAGAAACUCUAAACAAGCCUAUUGCAGAGACCAUUGAAGACCUGCAGACUCCUACCUACCAAAUACUUAAAAACAAAAAGGCAGAAUGCAGUUUGUAAAAACCAGCUCCUCAUUUUCCAUAAACCUAUGAAAACAGGUCAUCAGAUGAAUAUGCUACAGAGGUAAAUCAGUUAGAAGAAAACAGUUAAUGUUGCAAAAAGCACAUCUCAGUUGAAAAAUGAAGUGUCUUUUUCGAACAGUGCUUCUGUUGUUAUGGUGGGACACCAUCAAGAUUACCACAGUGCAACACUCAAAGUAUUAUACGGUUUCCAGACUUAUUUUUAUGUGAACGAACAUUGCCGAGAUGGAAAAAGCUACAAAAAUUCAUGAAUAAAAUGAAGGGGAUCAAAUACCUUAAAAUGCCACAUUCUGAAUGUUCUAAGAUAUUCAGGUUUAAAUUAGCUAGCUGUUACCUUUUUUUUUUUAGUAAUGCAGGGAAUAAUCUUAUACUGAUUAGAUGAUAAAGUCUAAUACAAACACUUGGUUUAAGUGUUAAAUCAUUGAGGAUUUCGACUGCAAUCACUGUAAACACAUAGGCAAGCAGAAUGUAUAGAGGUUAACUGGUGCAUUUGUGUUUCAACGUAUUUAAACUAAGGAUAUCAGUUGAAAUGAUAGCAUACUGCCUUUUAAAGUAUCUUUUGUUUGGAAGACUGCAAAUCAGCCUGGAAUACUAAGGCUGCUAUAGUUCUUAUUUUUUUGCAGACUCUUGUGUUUUUGCAAACACAAUGCCAGUUUUUGUUUAUAUUUAUGCUUUGAAUUUUUCACAAUAUUUAUAAAGACCAAAGAUGCCUUUUGUUACUUUUUAUACUAGCGGUGUAAUUUAUCUAAAGUAUGAAUAAUAUAUAUUUCACCAUACAUCUGUUAUAGAAAAUAGGGAAGUGUUUAAUUGCAGGUUUUAUUUGAAACAGAUAUUGUUACAUAUAGUGGUAAAAACAGUAUUGCUCUGCUCAUGGAAGGGCUGUUUUAAAGUAUUAUGUUCUGGAAGCAAGGUGUAAAAGUGAAACUAAAUCCAAAGAUGUUUUUCCUCUUGGACAAUGAGAAACAUGAGAACUAUUACAGAAUCUACAUAGUAUAGCGUUGCAUGAACUCUUGUGCAAUAUAUUGCACAACAGUUUGCAGAACUAUGCUGGCAACAGUUUUCCUUUUGCUCAUGGUUCUUUGGAUCCAGCCUCAAGCGACAAGAGUCCUUUGCAGAACAUGAACUAACCCCACCAGGGGUAUCUUUUUUUCAUUUUUCAUUUGGCCCUUUUAUUUAUAGGGAGAACUCAGAGUUAAAUGAUAUUUUGUCUAACUGCCUUUAUCUAGGGGCCAACAGCCUGCAGUUUACAGCAUUCAGGCAGACUACUGUCAAUCUGUCAAAUUGCACUGAUGUCUGGCAAAGACUCAGAUGACAGAGAUCUACAUUUAUAUUUUCAAGGUCAGCUUUUAAAAGCAAGUUGUAAACAUAGCCAAAAAACCCCAAAUCCCUACAAUUGACAGUCACUGAAAUAUCUAUUAUGAAUUUAUUUUAACUAGCUGGGCUGGGCGCAGAGCAUCUGCGCCUCUGCCAGCCCACUUCUCCCCCACUCCCGGCGCUUUCUGGCUGGUGGGCCGGCUGGCCCGCCACCUCCACCCACCUGCCCAUUCCUGGCGGCUGACCUGCCGCCUCCUCCCGGUAGCCAGGCCGGCCCACCGCCUCCUGUUCACAGCAGCUGGGCCAGGCUGGCCUGCCACCUCUUCCCGGCGACUGAGCCAGGCCAGCCCACUGCCUCCUGUUCCUGCCACCACCAUUGUCUCCCUGUCCCCGUCGCUAUUCCCCAGGCAUCUACUCUCACGAGAGCUGCCACUCAUGGGAUUAGCGACAGGUACACCUAGGAGAGAUAAAUAUAUAAAUGUCCUGUUUCAGCAUUUGGUAGUAAAUUGUCUACCAGAUCCUUUCGUGUAUUUCAUUUUUUAAAAUAAUAGGACACAGUUGACAGAAUGGUUCCAAGAUGUCAUCUAAUACUACAUUCCUUUCUUUUAGUAUUCAAAUUCAAACAGCAUAAAGAAAGAUGAAGACUAUUUUUUAUGUGGAGUUUUACUUUCUUUAUAAAUCUAUAUUUUUGUAAUAAAAUGCAAUAUAAAAUUAUUAUAAAAACAUUACUACUAUGGAAGCAGGUUGCUAAGACAAUUCUCCCUAGACUUAUUUGCCACAUAAUGAAAUGAUUCUCAUGUCAGAUAUGUAAUGUAUUUUUGAGACUGUUUUGCCCUUUGUAGAAAAUGGCUAAUAAACAACUGCAUUUUAAA